rnacentral:rRNA from 1 species
AGCAGCCGCGGUAAUUCCAGCUCCAAUAGCGUAUAUUAAAGUUGUUGCAGUUAAAAGCUCGUAGUUGAAUUUCGGGGUCAAUACGUCGGUCGUGCCUCGGUACGCACUGACGUUAUUGAUCCCUCCCUUCUGACGAACCGUGAUGUCAUUAAUUUGGUGUUGCGGGGAAUCAGGACUGUUACCUUGAAAAAAUUAGAGUGUUUAAAGCAGGCAAUCGCUCGAAUACAUUAGCAUGGAAUAAUGAAAUAGGACGUUCGAACCUAUUUUGUUGGUUUCUAGGAUCGACGUAAUGAUUAAUAGGGAUAGUUGGGGGCAUUAGUAUUCAAUUGUCAGAGGUGAAAUUCUUGGAUUUAUUGAAGACUAACUACUGCGAAAGCAUUUUGCCAAGGAUGUUUUCAUUAAUCAAGAACGAAAGUUAGGGAUCGAAGACGAUCAGAUACCGUCGUAGUC